UACGUAGGGUGCAAGCGUUGUCCGGAAUUAUUGGGCGUAAAGAGCUCGUAGGCGGUCUGUUGCGUCGGCUGUGAAAACCCGGGGCUCAACCCCGGGCCUGCAGCCGAUACGGGCAGACUAGAGUUCGGUAGGGGAGUGUGGAAUUCCUGGUGGAGCGGUGAAAUGCGCAGAUAUCAGGAGGAACACCCGUAGCGAAGGCGGCACUCUGGGCCGGAACUGACGCUGAGGAGCGAAAGCGUGGGGAGCGAACAGG
rnacentral:rRNA from 1 species